CAAGGUUAAAAAAAAAAAAUAAAAUAAAAAAUAAAAGUAAAACAGUACAACUCGUUUAAUAAAUAGUACAUACAUAUCCAUGUGUGUGUGUGCCUAAAAUAAUGUACAUAUGUUUUUGUAAAUUUCUACACGUUCUGUAUUUUUUUUUUUUUUUUUUUUUUUUUUAGGCAUAAAAAUGUUUCCACCAUUUCUAUAUAACGACAUUAUCAGUCACGAAAUAGAAAAAGUAAAUAAAUUCGGUGAAGCAAAAUAUAAUGAAAUUAUAAAUAACUUGAUUAGUAUAUACCAAAUGUUAAAAACAUUAGAUAUUACAAGUUCUGAAGGACAAAACAAUGAAUGUGGAGUAGGUACAGAUACAAGAACAGAUUUAAUAGCAGUUAUAGAGGCCCAGUUAGAUUUAAUGGGUUGUGAUAUUAUACAUUUUAAUUUUUAUAUCCAUAAAAAUAGUAAAAUAAUAAUGAAAUUAGGUUUUUUUUUUGACAAAAUAAUGAAUAUAUCAAUAAACCAAUGGUUAUUGUUAGGUCUAAUGAAACAAAAAUUUUGUAAUAUAGACCUUGAGCAAUUAAUAGUUUAUUUAUCUUAUUUGUAUACAUUUCUAAAUAAACUAAAAGAAAAUAAUAAUAACAGAUAUAGUACUAAUAAAGAUGCUCUGUGGAAGCCUCCCGACAUUUUUGAGAGAACAUCUUAUAAGUUUUUAAUAAAAUAUGAUGAUAUAGUAUUUGCAAAGGUUAAAAUUGUUAAACACUUGCCUUAUUUAAUAUUUGGUUUGAAAAUUGAUGAUAUAGAGCAACACUUUAAAUAUUUGAUAGAAGCUCAAAAAGAGAAGGGAGAUCUAAGUGGUGAUGGUGUUGGGAGUGGUGAUGGUGUUGGGAGUGGUGAUGGUGUUGGGAGUGGUGAUGAUGUUGGGGGUGAAGGUAAUAAAGACCAUAAAAUGGAUUCUCUGAAAAAACUGGACGAAUCCCAACAAAUAACAUCAGUAUACUUUGAUAAUGAACAAGCAACUUGUUACUCAAACCGAAUUUUAAGAUUUGAAAAUGCACAACUCAUAAGGUUUCGAUGGUAUAAUGAUAAUGAAGCUGAGCCAAACAAAAAUAUUUUUGUUGAAAGAAAAACACAUCAUGAGGAAUGGACAGGAGAAACAUCAACAAAAGAAAGAUUUGAAUUAGAACAAAAAUAUUUACUUAAAUAUAUGAACGGUCAAUUAAACGUAAAAAAAGUUCUGCUUCAAAAGUUUAUAAAAAAAAAAAAGGAGAUGUUGCAACAGUUAGCAACUAAAAGUGGUGCUUCUUCUGUCAGAGGUGUUUUGAUUAAUAAUGCCGGUACUAAUAUCAGUACCCACGCUGAACAAAUUUCUAAUACUAUUGCUACUACUAAUAAUAAUAAUAAUAAAAAUAAUAGUAUUAAUAAUGACAAAAAUAAUAAUAAAAAUAAUAGUAUUAAUAAUGAUAAUAAUAAUAAUAAUAAUAACAACAUGAGCAAAAAACAAAUCAGAAAAAACAUCCAAAAUUUGAAAAAAAAAGUAAAAAAAAAUAUUAAAUUAGCCACAGAAAUACAACAUACGAUUGUAAAAAAUAAACUAAAACCUAUUAUUAGAACAUCAUAUUUAAGAUCUGCUUUCCAAUUAAGUAAUGACAAUUCAGUUAGAAUUUCUAUUGAUAUAAAUAUAUCAAUGAUUAAUGAAUAUGUAUCUAAAAGAGAGCACUGGUGUAGACUAGCAGCAGAAGUGCUAGCAAAAAACGAGGUUACUCGAUUAAACUAUGGGAUUUUAGAAGUUAAACUAACAACUGG
ensembl:lncRNA